CUGUGGCACCUUAUAUAGACAGGUGUGUGACUUUCCAAACCAUGUCCAAUCAGUUGAAUUUACUACAGGUGGACUCCAGUCAAAGUGUAGAAACAUCUCAGAAACGAUCGAGAGAAAUGGGAGGCAGCUGAGCGAAAUUUCAAGUGUCAGAACAAAGGAUGAAGGUGACCGAGCUGUUCAGAAGGUCGUACAUGUUGACCUCCACCACCUCUGCUGAUGAGCCGCCCUCUCGUCCACCUGCCAGAGCCACGAAAACCUGCUGAGCAGCUGCCAGCUGUGCCUGCUCCUCAGAGACGACCGAUUCCGCCCCCUCCUCACCUGCUGAAAUCACCUGAUUGGACAGAGGAGUUGUAUAUGAAAUAUUUGAAAAGUUGACUGAGCAUUUCUUCAUCUCUGGAAGAGGUGGGUCUUGUGCAUGAACCCUCCAUCACUGCACUUGGACCAGGGAUGGACUGGGGAAGUCUGGGAGGACAAAAACAUAU